UAAAUUUGUCGUCUCUUCUCAGUUGUGACAUUGCAAUUGAAACAAUGCGGAGAGUGCCGAAUUAAAUGCGUCCACGAGACAGUGUCAAGAAUAACACGUUAAAGAAACCGAUCCUCGCGAAACGGCAGGUCAUCGAGACAUUUGACAUCUGAGGAAGAUGAAACCACCAUCGUUACGGCUUAAUUGAUCAUUAACGAACAGUCAGUUCGAUUCAGGAAGAAAACCUCAGACACCGGCUGUUGUUUUGUAGCCUCCCUUCCCCCGCCGCCUCCUGACGCAUUUCAGUGGGAAAAUAAUUAAAAAGGGCCCACAGAGAGAGUCCCGAUCGACGGCACGGCGGAGUCGCAUAAAUUGAAACUGGUUUCAACUGGCCAACGUUGGUUCAAUCUGGCGUGUCAAUCCGAACGAAUCCAGAAGCUUUCCGCUACCACCUUGGCUCUUCCCCUUCUCUGUGCGUGCGUGUGACAUCUUUUUGCAUAAGGUCAGGCCUUUCUUCUUUUCCGUUUUCUUUUUUAUUUCGUUCACUCUGCCCCGCGAGGAUUCCGAGGAAGCCGAUGAUUAUUACGUGGCAUAGAUGAUAAAGCUGCGCGGCGAGGCCGCAACUUGAAAGUCAGACAGCAAAAAUUGGCAGUGCCAAAUGCGACAUGGAAGACUCAGCAUUUGUUACAAUUCAACAUACAAAUAACGAUUUAUCUUAAAAAUGAUAACAAAUAGAUUAUGCUCCUAUGCAUAAACAUUAUUCUCAUAAGAAUAAUGAGAAUCAUCUUUGUCCUUAAUUAUAAAUUAUAAAUAAAAUUUGCUAAGAAAUUUCUCAAUCAAUUAAA